GGGGAUGUCGGCCACGUGCGCCGUGUCCCGGAAAGCGCCGCCGCCGCUCUCCCGGGGCGAGGGGGAUCCGCCGACCAAAGUGAUGCGCAGGGGGCUGCGGAGAGGCCACGAGGAGGAGCGGGAGGAGCUGCCGUGGCCGGGAGAGAGCGCGUGCGGCCGGGGCGCGGAGCCCGAGGGGGAGCAGGCGGCCCCGCUCAGGGACGAGCGGCGGAGGCGGCGGCCGCUGGAGCCGAGGGCGCUGGCGGCGGCGGCCAGGGAGGAGGAGGAGGAACGUCUGGAGCGGGAGCAUUUCCGGAGGAUCAUCAACGCCUUCCGAUAUUACGGAACGAAUAUGCAUGAACGAGUGAACAGAACAGAGAGGCAGUUUAAGUCUCUCCCAGCUAACCAACAGAGUCUUCUUCCUCAAUUUCUUCCACACCUUGACAAGAUUCGGAAGUGCAUUGAUCAUAAUCAAGAGAUACUACAGACCAUUGUGAAUGACUGCGUUCAUAUGUUUGAAAAUAAAGAAUAUGGAGAAGACGGAAGCGGGAAGAUAACACCAGCUUCAACAUUUGACAUGGAUAAAUUAAAGUCCACAUUGAAACAAUUUGUGAGAGACUGGAGUGAAGAGGGAAAGUCUGAGAGAGAUUCCUGCUACCAGCCAAUCAUUAGUGAAAUUGUAAAGAACUUUCCAAAAGAAAGAUGGGAUUUCUCCAAAGUUAAUAUCCUGGUACCUGGUGCUGGGCUAGGUAGAUUGGCGUGGGAAAUAGCUAUGCUCGGUUAUGCUUGCCAAGGAAAUGAAUGGAGCCUCUUUAUGCUCUUUUCUUCUAACUUUGUACUCAACAGAUGCUCUGAAAUUAACUCAUGUAAGCUUUAUCCCUGGAUUCAUCAAUUUAGCAAUAACAGAAGAUCUGCUGAUCAGAUACGACCAAUUUAUUUCCCAGAUGUUGAUCCUCACAGUCUUCCUUCUGGUUCAAACUUCUCUAUGACUGCAGGGGAUUUUCAAGAAAUUUAUUCUGAGUGCAAUACGUGGGACUGUGUAGCAACUUGCUUUUUCAUAGAUACAGCACAUAAUGUUAUUGAUUACAUUGAUACUAUAUGGAAAAUACUAAAGCCUGGAGGAAUAUGGAUAAAUGUCCUCUCCUUUACCAUUUUGAAAACUUGGGAAAUGAACUUUCUAUAGAAUUAAGCUAUGAGGAUAUAAAAAAUGUUAUCCUACAAUAUGGAUUCCAUAUAGAGGUGGAGAAAGAAUCUGUACUGUCAACUUACACUGUGAAUGAACUCUCCAUGAUGAAAUACUACUAUGAAUGCGUGUUGUUUGUGGUGAGAAAACCAGAAUAGUAGUGGUCUAAAUAGGUUAAUGAGAAAAAAACUGUUGGCUUGAAAGCUAGAAAUGAGGGUAAAAUGGUCUGGGUGAUGUAUGAACACAACCUCACAUAGUGGUGCCUUCUUAUUCCUAAGAGGAUAUAGAUAGUGUCUAUUUUCUUAAUAUCUCUAUUGCUGUUCGGACAUACACUAUGCCAUGCAUAUUUGUAAUAUACUUGUGAAGGUGAAGGAUGUAAUGUUCACAUACACUGUCAUUGUGCUUUGGAGUGCAUUAGAAAUAAAAGCAAAAAUGUUUUCUUGAGAACAAAAUUAAAUGUUUGCCAUAAGUAGGCUAAUUCUCUGCAUAUGCUGCCUAAUAUUUCAUAGAUUUAUAGUGAUUUUUUCUAUUAUCUGAUAUUAGGAAUGCAUGGAGGUGCUUACUGUGUCAUGUUUAGAGAAGUAUUUUUAAAUGUAUACUUAAAUUAUGAAGUCUGAAAUGGUUGGAAAGUGGUAAAAUUAUUCUUGACAGAUAAAAUAGCCAUCAAAACUGGUAGAGCAUUUUCUGUGGAACUGAAAUGAAGUAGAUUAUUGUAUAAAUGCUAAUCUCUGACUGUACCACUGUUAACAGUUUAAUUAAAACACAGAGCCUGUGGGCAAUUUGAAAUACUAUAUGAAAGCAGAAUACUGAGUGAAGAAAAAGCAAUGUGUCACAGAGAAGCAGUAUGAUAACCUCAGUUGAGGAAUACUACCAAUUUUGAUUGAGCUUUGUGUUGAAACUGAAAUGUGUUAGAUGCUUUGCCAUCUUGUAAUACACUGAUUUUGAGUCAUCUGACUGCUUAAGCUAAAACUUCCAAAGUUGAUAAACAUAGCUGAGUUAUCCAUGCCAUGUGUAGGUAGUACAACAUAAAAACAUCUGUCGGGGCAGUGAAGUUAUGAGAAAUAAAAUACAUUUUUUUUUAUUACAAAACAAAAUUAUAGGCGCAUUGUGAAGUUGUAAGGUAUGCAGUUCCAAACUGGACUGGGUACCAGGGUUCUUUUGCGGCCGGGAUAAGGGAAAUAUAAAGUUCCUAAAAAUUAAAAUUAAAAAUUAAUUUUCGGAGAAAAGGAAGCCUUUUUAGGUAAAAAUUAAUAUAUUAAACUUAUCUGAAAAAGGAUGGGAUUUUGUAAAACUAUAAAAUACAUGAAGUUUAAACCCAAGGGGUUUUUCUCCCCAGGACCUUGGUGUGAGAUGAGACCGGCUCAUGCUGAAUAAACCUUUCCUUGGUGAUACAGUUCCUUUGUUUCAUAGGUAAUUGAAUCUUUCUAAAUUAAAUAACAAGAGAUUUCUCACAAAGUUACGUGUAAAUAUGUCCUAUAACCUAAUCACCUCUGCAUGAGUCAGGAUAUGCAGGAUAACUACAGACACUUUAUCCUUCUGACUUCUUGGCUUGUUCCUUAUACUAAUGUGUUUUUUUCCUAGCAGAUGUUGCUUAGGUGAAUAUUUAACGUACAAGUCAUGAUACUAUACAAGAGGCUGAAUCUCCUGUCACUUGGAAGUUAUGAUGUACAUGAGAACAUUAAUUAAUAAUCACUAUUCUGAGUGGAGGUGUCAUGUUAAGUAUUUUGUUUUCUUAAUAUAUUAAUUACCUUAAGUAUCAUUUUCACGCAUUUUCAAAAUGGUCUUUAAAAUAUAAAAGCAUUAUGAGGGCUCAAGUUUUUUUCAUAUUUGGCCUUAAUGACACUGGUCAAUAUCUUGUUUAUUUCCCAUUAUUUUUAGUCCUGUCUUUCUUGGUGGUGUCCUAAUCACCUCCCUUUAAUAGAUUUGUUAUGGCUUUUGGAUUUUUCCAAUUAAGGCCAGAAAUUUGUGCUUUUAUUCCUAAAUUCAAAAUCUGCAAGGAAGAAAAACACCAACUUUUUUUUUUAUAGUUUGAACACCACAUAAGAAAGCACGCAUCUGUAUAUCUUUCAGUACUUUGCCCCUUUCCAUUCAGAAUCCGUAUUGAAAUAGAGGUUUCUGGUCAACAGCAGUUUUUAAGUAUACCAUGACUUAAACUAGUCUUACUUGAACUCUUUCUAAAAGUGCACCACCAUGACUCAGUUCCACAAAUGAGGUAUCAAAGGUCAACCCUGCUCCAAGAGAGAUGUGUUUCAAGAAGAAACAAUGCUAUUGCAACAUAAAAUUAAAAAUAAAAAUCCUUGCACACUUAAAAAUAAAAAAGCCACUUGCUUUAAUUUCUGUAUUGUACCAUUUACUUUAAUUUUUGAGGGAAUUUAUGAUUCUUUGCUUUAAAUCUGCUUUUUUUCUACCAGAAUAUGAUUAGCAUUUUACUUAAUUUUCAAGCUCCUUGGAAUCAGACAUAGCUUAAGUGAAUGUAAAUUGUGCUAUUACUGAGUAGUAUAUCUAUCUGUAAUGUUACCCAAUUUCUGCCUCCUAGCCCGUCUGUAACUUGGAAUGUGGUGUUCCUGCUUUUCACGAAUAGGCAAUGGGACUCUUUCUUUCUGGUUGAAUGUCAUUAUCCUUUGUUCUGGUAGUUUUGUUCCUUGCCACCCCAUGUAGUCACAGUUGCCAUUUUUAUGUAUUUUCUGAAAAUGUUUUUAUUUGCUUACAUCAGGUAUAAUAUGGUGGUGUGCUUUUAUUUCUGAUCUAGAAAAUGCCAUCUUCCCCGCACAGUGUUCUUUUAAAUCGCAACAGUCACAUUAAGAGUUGGAAGUAAAAUAAUCUUGUGAGUGAGCUGUGUUAGUAGUGUUCUACCUACCUAUUUAUGAGUUCCUAGAAUUCACCACUUGUACUGUUAUGAGGGUCGUUGUGUAUUAUAGAAUGUGAUCACUGUUCUAUUCGGUUGUAUACGUGGGGGAGAAUGUCCAAGGCGUUCAUCAGAUGAGACUGUUUACUUUAGGUCGUUAUUAAACUGUACAUAGUAACAGAUGUAAAAUAAACUGCUGCAUAACCUUAAGUGUAAAGCUUCUUUAUAUGGAGUUUGACAAAUGUAAAAUGGCCUGGGUUUUUUUGUUCCUUUAUUUGUUUGGGUUUUUUACGUGGUACAUUCUGAAAUUGGUUGCGAAGAUAAGGAUGAAAAGUUUCACGUCUCUGCGUCCACUUCCCGCUAUUUUACAGAGUGUGUAAUGGACCUGUGGCUUUUUGGAUAUUAAAGCUUGGGGCAUGCCUUGA